rnacentral:rRNA from 1 species
GAUGAACGCUAGCUACAGGCUUAACACAUGCAAGUCGAGGGGCAGCAUGAACUUAGCUUGCUAAGUUUGAUGGCGACCGGCGCACGGGUGCGUAACGCGUAUGCAACCUACCCGUAACAGGGGGAUAACACUGAGAAAUUGGUACUAAUACCCCAUAAUAUCUCGGAAGGCAUCUUCUGGGGUUGAAAACUCUGGUGGUUACGGAUGGGCAUGCGUUGUAUUAGCUAGUUGGUAAGGUAACGGCUUACCAAGGCGACGAUACAUAGGGGGACUGAGAGGUUAACCCCCCACAUUGGUACUGAGACACGGACCAA